UUCUACUGGAUGUUCCCCGGGGAGUUCUUGGGAUACCUAUACGGGGUUCCACUGCUUCUUACCAACCUGAUGCUAUUCUCUCUGAGGAGAGAUGAGACUUACCAUCAACUACCUCUUCAGUUCCCUGCAGCUUCCCUGGCUGCCCACACUUCCUGAUCAGGGAGGGGAACCCAUGGAUGUCUUCCUCUGGGCUUUAAUUGAAGCAUGAGCACCUAGGAAGGGUGCAGAGUGCAGAUCACUAGUGGGAUGAUAUGUGGAAUGAAAGGAAAGACGCUCACAAAUUGGCCACCUCAAAAAGUAAGGUAAGAAUUUAACAGCAUGACACACCCAUAUUCCUAAAGCAAUACCCAGAGGCCCAGCCAGAUCCUCAGGUCACACACCCUCGCCCAUUUGGAUCAUCAGGCCACUAACCUCACCCAGAUGAAAUAACAUAGGUACUACUUCUGGGAGAACAUGAUGCAUGACAAUAUACAAAAACCAAAUGGAUGAAAUGAGCUAUUUCCUCACAAAAUAGUCCAUGAUGAUGUAUCAGCUAGCAGGAUUCCGUACUUCUUCCCCUCAAGCUACCUCUUGCUUCACAUGAUGAAGACCAAAAAGAAUUGUUGGCCUCAGGAAGUGUGCCUUAGCUGCUUUCUGCCAGAUCUCAAGUUGUAUUGGUGACCAGAAGAGUGACAGUUUGUCUGGUGGUUGAGCUCCUGGGACCAUGCCACUAGUCCUAGGUUCUCAGGAACUUCAUCCUUGCCCUCAGGGAAAAUUUGUGUACUGGUGAGUGCUUGGCUUCCCACUGGAUUUUGUAGGGCAUUAUUAUGGCCCUUCAGAGUAGGUCAAAGCAGUUCAGUGACUGACUGGACUGGCUCUCUUCACCAUUUGUGUUAACGACUCAGUUUGUCAAUAGAGGAGAUGGCUUUUGCAGUAAAAUUGAUGUUAAAGUGUGAACCCAGGACUCUCGGUCUUGGCAUUUCACGACUGUGUAUGUUUUCAAGAUGACUUCAAAGCUGAAUAUAAUAGCAAGGUUUUGGCACUGGUUGGAACAAGGCUACUGAAACCUGUGAAUUGAAGGUCUCAACAUGCAUUAACAAGGGCAGUCCAAAUAAAAGUUCAAAGCCCCAAAAUUUCUUGGAAUUGCUCAGCAUUGAAAUACAGACAACAAAGUACUCCAGAAAUGUUUAACAUCCUUUUCCAAAAUAACCUACUGCUAUAUCCAAAUGCCAAAAUUUGCAACGUGUCAUCCCUCUGAGCCAAUAUAG